UAGGGAAUCUUCCACAAUGGACGCAAGUCUGAUGGAGCAACGCCGCGUGAGUGAAGAAGGUUUUCGGACCGUAAAGCUCUGUUGUUGGUGAAGAAGGAUAGAGGUAGUAACUGGCCUUUAUUUGACGGUAAUCAACCAGAAAGUCACGGCUAACUACGUGCCAGCAGCCGCGGUAAUACGUAGGUGGCAAGCGUUGUCCGGAUUUAUUGGGCGUAAAGCGAGCGCAGGCGGAAGAAUAAGUCUGAUGUGAAAGCCCUCGGCUUAACCGAGGAAUUGCAUCGGAAACUGUUUUCUUGAGUGCAGAAGAGGAGAGUAGAACUCCAUGUGUAGCGGUGGAAUGCGUAGAUAUAUGGAAGAAUACCAGUGGCGAAGGCGGCUCUCUGGUCUGCAACUGACGCUGAGGCUCGAAAAGCAUGGGUAGCGAACAGGAUUAGAUACCCUGGUAGUCCAUGCCGUAAACGAUGAGUGCUAAGUGUUGGGAGGCUUCCGCCUCUCAGUGCUGCAGCUAACGCAUUAAGCACUCCGCCUGGGGGAGUACGACCGCAAGGUU
rnacentral:rRNA from 1 species